rnacentral:rRNA from 1 species
AGCACCAAUACCGGAUCCCAUUAGAAUCUGAAGUGAAGCGUGCUUGGGCGAGUGAAGUACUAGGAUGGGUGACCUCCUGCGAAGUGCUCGAGUUGCAUUCC